rnacentral:lncRNA from 12 species
AUCAUUCUCAAAUUCUUACUUCCUGGGCUGCUUACCUGGAGGGGUCUUCACAAGCACCUUCUGAGCUAUUGAUUAGAGCCUGUCAACUCAGCAGCAGCAGCACGGUGAGUUAUUGCUGCAGAAGCCCUGCCAAGGACACCGUGGCACCCACUUCCAUUUCACAAACCUGACCACCAGACCAACAGAUCAGCCCAGGCUCUUUCUGCAACAGAUAGCAGAAACUGAAGUCACCUACAAAUCUCAGACGAGUCACACAGGGUUUUCACAUUUCCCAAGAAGCUGAGAUGAAAUGAAACUCCAAAAGAACUUCUCAUCAUGCCUUCACUUGCUCAGAUGCAGAUCCAGCUGAAGAGC